UCCUUGGUGGACUAGUGGCUAGCAUGCGUUCCUCUCCUCGCCAAGGUCCGGGUUCGAUUCCCGAUCAUGGAA